UCCCUCUUAGCUCAGUUGGUAGAGCGCGUCACUAGUAUAAGUACUGAUUGAAGAAUAUAUGACGAGGUCAGUCGUUCAAAUCGGCUAGCGGGAA